rnacentral:rRNA from 1 species
GUGGGGAAUAUUGGACAAUGGGCGAAAGCCUGAUCCAGCCAUGCCGCGUGUGUGAAGAAGGUCUUCGGAUUGUAAAGCACUUUAAGUUGGGAGGAAGGGCAGUAAGUUAAUACCUUGCUGUUUUGACGUUACCGACAGAAUAAGCACCGGCUAACUUCGUGCCAGCAGCCGCGGUAAUACGAAGGGUGCAAGCGUUAAUCGGAAUUACUGGGCGUAAAGCGCGCGUAGGUGGUUCGUUAAGUUGGAUGUGAAAGCCCCGGGCUCAACCUGGGAACUGCAUCCAAAACUGGCGAGCUAGAGUACGGUAGAGGGUGGUGGAAUUUCCUGUGUAGCGGUGAAAUGCGUAGAUAUAGGAAGGAACACCAGUGGCGAAGGCGACCACCUGGACUGAUACUGACACUGAGGUGCGAAAGCGUGGGGAGCAAACAGGAUUAGAAACCCGAGUAGUCC